CAACGGUUCGGGAGAGUACAUUUGAUUUUUUUCGCGAGUAUCUUGUUAAAGUUAAAGUUUUUAUAAUUUGCUGUUAAAAAUACUUCCAAAUUAAAGCUUCUUAAGAAUUUUAAGAAUACGGCUUGUGAUUGAUAUAAAAAAUUCGGAGAUAUUGCUAAUUUUACCAAUACAAAAUCGCUUAUAUAAAAACAUACACAUAAUUUGCGAUGAGAACUUUCCUGUAUUGAUACAAACAAGCCUCAGGAAGUACAAAAAACGCGGGAAAUUUGUUCGUUGUCAGAGGAAAUGGUUGAUUUUACAAAGAACUUGAGAACUCUGUGACGCCGCCCAAUUUUUUUCACUGGAGAUUUAUGUGAAGCUAGUAUUAUACUUUGGAGCUACAUUCGGAUAUUUUAUCUACGUCCACAUUCCUGAUUAUAUAUGUAUUUGGACUCUAUAUAUAAUAUGUUGUUUCUCGUAUAAAAAAUGGCUUUACUGAGGGUCAUAAAGUACAUGCCUCAUCUGGCAAUUGGGAUUGGUGAUCAUAGUGCACAAGUCUCAUCAAUAAGAAACAUGAUGUCCUUUCUCUUAUUGUCAAAGAAAAAAUGGUAUGACAAUAUAUAUAUCGCUCCAAAUGUUACAAUGAAGAACUCAAAAUACAAAUGUUGAAUAGAGGAGCACUAACACAGCAACGAAGUCAGCAAGUCCUUUGGUGCAAUCAAUCAUAUCGGGAAAUUAAUGCAUAUUUACAUAUCUAUCGCUCCAAAUGUUACAAUGAAGAUCUCAAAAUACAAAUGUCGAAUAGAGGAGCACUAACACAGCAACGAAGUCUGCAAGUCCUUUGGUGCUAUAAAAAAAAUACUUUCUAAAAAGUAUAAACUUUAUCUAAAUUUCGUUUCGGUUUAAGAAUGUGCACCGAUUUAAUUUGCAUUAUCAUAAAAACAGAGGUGGUCGCAUACCAAUACCAGUGAAAGUGUAACAACUAUUUGAUGAAUCCGUAUUUUAUUGGAACGGACACAGAAACCAUGGAAUUGACAAAACUUCGGAAAACGCUUACAAACACGCAGGUA